rnacentral:rRNA from 1 species
UACGUAGGGGGCAAGCGUUGUCCGGAUUCAUUGGGCGUAAAGAGCGUGUAGGCGGCCAGGUAGGUCGGUUGUGAAAACUGGAGGCUCAACCUUCAGAGGUCGACCGAAACCAUCUGGCUAGAGUCCGGGAGAGGAGAGUGGAAUUCCUGGUGUAGCGGUGAAAUGCGCAGAUAUCAGGAAGAACACCCGUGGCGAAAGCGACUUCCUGGACCAAUACUGACGCUCAUGUGCGAAAGCGUGGGGAGCAAACAGG